CAGGACAGCCUGUGCUACACAGAAAAAUCUUGUCUCAAAAACCUAAAACCAAACAAACAGAAGGACAGGAUAUCAUGUAGCCCCAGGUUAGCCUUAAACCCAGCAUGCAGCUGAGGCUGGCAUUGAAUUCCUGAUCCUCCUGCUUCCACUUCCUGAAUGCUAGGACUAUAAAUGUGGGUACCUUGCUUUGUCGCUGGCAAGCUGCUCAGGAGAGGCAGAACACAGUCCGUGAUAAGAGUCCCAUCCCAUGUUUCCCGGAUAAGAAACAGUGGGGUCUAGGACAGACACUGUGGUUCCUGGCCUCCUGUGUACCCAAGAGACCUUGGGGAACUUGAGGAGUUGGGAAUGGGGUCUGUGUCUCCUCUACCCACCAUGCAGGAAGGGGAGGGCUGAGCCUAGGACUGGGGUGAAAUCCAGUUUGGUUCCAAGUGAAUGUCAAGAGUAUGGAGGGACCAGAAGAGAGAAGGCCUUCUACCGGAGAUGUAGUCUUGGCUCUUUAGGAUGAAGGUCUCGUGCCUUGUAGAUCUUUGAAGAAGGAGAGGGUCCUUGCUUGGCCAAACUGCUUUAUUUGAUGGGGGAAUAAGAAUGCAUACAUCUUACUCAGGGUGAACCAGGGAUUAAAUGCCUUUUUCAGGAAGGAGUGCCCAGGAAGGGAAGUUCAUUGGCUGAAUGCUGAUACCUCAUUAUCAUGGAGAACGGCAGGUGUCUGUGCUUCGCAGACCUACUGUCACAGGCCUCUUAGUGGGGUGUCAUGAUAACACGUCCCAGAUCAGAUCAGGUAGUUUGGUGGGGAGCUGCCCUCACGCCUACUGUUCUCAAUUCUGAGAUUUCCAGGGGCACGGUCCACUUGCCCCACAAUGCUUGGGUUUCCCCACAACCCGUGUGUGUGUGUGUGUGUGUGUGUGUGUGUGUGUGUGUGUGAGAGAGAGAGAGAGAGAGACAGUCUCACUCUAUAGCCCAGGAUGGCCUGCAAUUCAGUGUCUAGACUAAGUUAGCCAUGGUGGUGGCUUCCCAUACAUUCCUCUAGUUCUCACCUUUCCGGGGCAGCAGGAGAGAUCUAGUUCAUUCUUUAUCCCCCCCUCCCUCCUCCCCCCCCCUCUCUCUCUACACACACACACACACACACACACACACACACACACACAGAGUAGCAUAGGUGGUCUGUUCCUUUCAUUUCAGCACUUGGGAGUCAGAGGCUGGCCUAUGAGUUGGACGAUCAGUCUGAUCUGCACAGGAAAUUCCAGGCGAGGCGGGGCUACAGAAUGAGACCCUGUCUCUCAAACAAAUCAAACCAUCAAGCUGUACAACAAUCCUAUAGCAAAGGGAAAAGGAUCACAGACACACACUACUGCACCUGGUGUCUCACAUGGAUACUGCGGAUCCCAAGUCUGGACAACGCUCGUAACUGACUGGGUCAGCCCUUUCCGGCUUUGCUCCACCCCUGGCUUCUAGCACUUUCAGAGCUUUACACUCUUCUGUGAACAGUCACUUGUCUUUGUCUACGAAUAAACCUUUAUAUUGCAUUA